GAUGAACGCUGGCGGCGUGCCUAAUACAUGCAAGUCGAGCGAACGGACGAGAAGCUUGCUUCUCUGAUGUUAGCGGCGGACGGGUGAGUAACACGUGGAUAACCUACCUAUAAGACUGGGAUAACUUCGGGAAACCGGAGCUAAUACCGGAUAAUAUUUUGAACCGCAUGGUUCAAAAGUGAAAGACGGUCUUGCUGUCACUUAUCGAUGGAUCCGCGCUGCAUUAGCUAGUUGGUAAGGUAACGGCUUACCAAGGCAACGAUGCAUAGCCGACCUGAGAGGGUGAUCGGCCACACUGGAACUGAGACACGGUCCAGACUCCUACGGGAGACAGCAGUAGGGAAUCUUCCGCAAUGGGCGAAAGCCUGACGGAGCAACGCCGCGUGAGUGAUGAAGGUCUUCGGAUCGUAAAACUCUGUUAUUAGGGAAGAACAUAUGUGUAAGUAACUGUGCACAUCUUGACGGUACCUAAUCAGAAAGCCACGGCUAACUACGUG
rnacentral:rRNA from 1 species